UAGGGAAUAUUGGACAAUGGGGGCAACCCUGAUCCAGCCAUGCCGCGUGAGUGAAGAAGGCCCUCGGGUUGUAAAGCUCUUUUGUCCGGAAAGAAAAGCUUCGGGUUAAUACCCCGGGGUUCUGACGGUACCGGAAGAAUAAGCACCGGCUAACUUCGUGCCAGCAGCCGCGGUAAUACGAAGGGUGCAAGCGUUACUCGGAAUUACUGGGCGUAAAGCGCACGUAGGCGGAUUGUUAAGUCGGGGGUGAAAUCCCGGGGCUCAACCCCGGAACUGCCUUCGAUACUGGCAAUCUAGAGUCCGGAGGAGGGUAGUGGAAUUCCGAGUGUAGAGGUGAAAUUCGUAGAUAUUCGGAGGAACACCAGUGGCGAAGGCGGCUCACUGGUCCGGUACUGACGCUGAGGUGCGAAAGCGUGGGGAGCAAACA
rnacentral:rRNA from 1 species